rnacentral:lncRNA from 1 species
CCGAACCACUGUAACCAACCAAAAAUGUUCAACAUCAAAAAAGGCACCAGCAUCUCUACAAUGAUGAAAGAUUAGUAGACUUAAUAUUUAGUGAAAAAAUUUAGGUUCAAAUCUCUUCUAAUUAAUCACAUACAUUCGAUGUAAUGACUAAUUUGGUUUGGGUCAGCACAUCUUAUGUCUGACCAACCUAGUCGACAUAGGUGAACUGAAGUCAACAAAUAACCUAAUAUAAAAUAUAAUCUCCCAAA